CUCCAAUAGCGAAAUUAAGGACUUUGGGGCCAAGAUAUAUCUUUUGAAUCUUGCAUAUUACGACAAAUUUGAUCAAGAAACAGCCAAGAUGUGGGCAACCUCUGGACUCACAAAGAGUCAUCCUUCAGCACUCAGGAAAGGAAAAACCUCCUUUGGAGGAAACCUCUAGGGAACCAUGGCUCGAAGGACUGCCCUUCCCUCUGGGCAUUAAGAG